GACGAACGCUGGCGGCGUGCCUAAUACAUGCAAGUCGAACGAACGGAUAAAGAGCUUGCUCUUUUGAAGUUAGUGGCGGACGGGUGAGUAACACGUGGGUAACCUGCCUCACAGCUGGGGAUAACAUCGAGAAAUCGAUGCUAAUACCGAAUGUGCUGAACAUCAUAAGAUGUUCAAGUGAAAGACGGUUUCGGCUGUCACUGUGUGAUGGACCCGCGCUGGAUUAGCUAGUUGGUAAGGUAAUGGCUUACCAAGGCGACGAUCCAUAGCCGACCUGAGAGGGUGAUCGGCCACAUUGGGACUGAGACACGGCCCAAACUCCUACGGGAGGCAGCAGUAGGGAAUCUUCGGCAAUGGACGAAAGUCUGACCGAGCAACGCCGCGUGAGCGAAGAAGGCCUCGGUCGGUAAGACGUCUGUUGUUAGUAGAAG
rnacentral:rRNA from 1 species